GCGCCGGUAGCUCAGUUGACAGAGCAGUGGGACGGUACCCCACGGUCCAGGGUUUAAGCCCCGGUCAACGCU